UACGGGGGGGGCAAGCGUUGUUCGGAAUUACUGGGCGUAAAGGGCUCGUAGGUGGCCAACUAAGUCAGACGUGAAAUCCCUCAGCUUAACUGGGGAACUGCGUCUGAUACUGGAUGGCUUGAGUUUGGGAGAGGGAUGCGGAAUUCCAGGUGUAGCGGUGAAAUGCGUAGAUAUCUGGAGGAAUACCGGUGGCGAAGGCGGCAUCCUGGACCAGCAUUG
rnacentral:rRNA from 1 species